UUUGAAAGAAUCUUAUAAAAAUUGUACUAAUUCCUAUAACAUGAUAUUGAAUCUAAAACGAUUGAUAUGUCUAUUUUUGAUAAUAUGAUAUUUAUUAUAUAUUUUUAUUAUGAUUCUUCAAAAGGCCAUCAGUAAAAAUAAUUAUAUUUUUUUAGAGAUUUGAAAUAAAAAGGAUCGUCAUAUAGUUUUUAGAAGAAACUGAUUCACGCGUAAAACAAUUAAGCACAUAUAUUUAUUAAUUUGAAGGGCAUGCAUAUCCUUUGGAGUAAGAUUACAAAUAUUGUAGUCAUUUUUGUCACAUAAUAUUAAAUCUAACAGGAUCAAAAUCGUCAUAUAUUUUUAUUAUAAUUAUUCACACAAUCAUCAAAUUAACCUAAUUAAAAAAGUGUAUCUUUAUUUUAGAGCUAUUGGAAUGAACAGCUAGGUCAUAGGUAAUAAAAUGAAUAAUUAAGUAAUGAUGUAAUGUCUAAAACUAAUUAAUACUGAAUAUGUAUUUUACAAACAAUAACUUAUUACGUAUAAAUAAACCUUUAGAGGGUCAUUUACUGAAUAGAUAAAAAAUAAAAUAUAAUAAUAAUAAUUUCCAACUUAUUUUUGAAUACCUAUUAUUUUAUUCUUAUUUCUACUAUUUUGAAUUUUAGCCAAGUUAAUUUUUAAUACUAUAUUAUGAUUGAUUCGACUAUAUUUUCUAAUUUCUUUCAUCAUUAGUGGUCUUUUUUAUUGAAAUAUAUCUUUAAGCCAAGGUUUUUGUCAACCUGAAGAUAGUUUUACUUGUAUGAUGAAUUUGAAAAAUAAUGAAAUUAAUUUUUUUCUAAUUAGCUAUUUCAAAUACUUAAUUAUUUAUUUUUAGAAAUAAAAGAUAAUUAUAAUUGAUUCGACUUUGUUUUCUAAUUUCUUACAUCAUCAGUGGUCUUUAUUAUUGAAAUAUAUCUAUUUAAAUCAAGACUUUUGUCAACCCGAAGAUAGUUUUAAUUAUAUAAUGAAAUUUGAAAAUAAUGAAAUUGACUUUUUUUUGCUAAUUAGCUAUUCCAAAUACUUAAUUAUUUAUUUUCAUCAAUAAAAGAUAAUUAUAUUUUAUUUAUUUAAAUUCUCAAUAUUAGAUCAUACCAAAUUUUAAAUAAUCGAUUAUAGUUAUAUUUUACAGAUGAAAAUUCUUUUGUCCGAUUGUAAGAAAAUCAAAUGAGUGGGAAAUAGUUUUGUAUAUUUUAAAGUAUUUUAGUAUAUAAAAGAGUUUCACCUAAAUCAAAACAUAAAAAAACAUUACUCCGUCAUUUUUCAAGAACACCGUACGUCCUCUUUCUUUUUUAAUUGAAUUAUUGGUAUAUGUCAAAGGUAUAAACUUCUAAAUACCAAGUGGUUACGUCUUAUUUGGUUAAUAGUUUUAGUUCUUUCCUUUUCUUGCCCUCUAUAUAAAAUUUAAGUGUAAAAAUUUAUAUAAAAUAAAAUGUUAAUAUUUUUGAAGUUUGAAAUAUCAAAAAUUUUCUACGUAAUCCAAAUAUGGAAGAAUGUAAUAUAUAAAAUUUAGUUGAUUUUGUAGUCCUAAAUAUUAGGAAAAUAAUUAAAUAAGUUUUCUUACAUAUAAGAAAAAUAAUUAAAUGAGUAUUUCAACAUGUUAGGAAAAUAACUAAAUUAAUAUUUUAUUCAAUGUAAAUUCUAUUUUUAAAAGUUAAAAAAGACAAAUGACAUUUCGCUAAUGUCCUCCGUAUUUUUAACAUAGUAUUAGUCGUAAAAAGCGCGUGUAUCCAAAUCAAUGAAUAUACUAUUUUAAAACAUUAUAUAAAUAGUUAUGUUCAUUUAUAAACCAAAACUUAAUGCAAAAACUUAUCGGAUAGAACUCUAUAAAAUAUUUAUGAAAAAUAUAAUUAAACAAUACAUGCACUUAACCCCGAUUUUGAUAAACCCAUAACUUAUUCCUUCACAUCUCACAAGAAUGCUCUAUUCGAUUUGAAGAACAAUAUAUAUUGUUUGUUGCUAAUUUACCAAAAUUUUCAUUUGGGAAAAAUGACCGAAUAUUAUUACAAUAUAUUCUUUUAUCACGAUUUUUCAAAUAUUUAUCAAAUAACACAAAUUGAAAAAUUGAACUUCUAGUUUAUUUUAUAGAUUCGGAUAUGAAAGGAUAAAUUGGAUAAGUAUAAAUUUAAAAUAUAAAAAUGACUUAUAUUGAGCUAAUAUUUUACAAUAAAUGACUUAAUAUUAAAAACUACAAACAGUCAUUUUUUGGCAACAAAAACCACAAAGAAUCAAUUGCUUUAAUGAAUAGAAAAUAAAAGAAAAAUAAUUAACGUCAACUCAUUAGAAUAUAAUUUGUCCUCAUUAUCUCAAUUUUUUAUGUUUGUAUUUAACCAAUAUGAUUCUUAAUAUUAUAUUAUAAUCAAGUUUAUUUUCUGAUGACUCAUUAGAAUAUAGUUCGUCUUCAUUAAAUUUUUUUUAUGUUUGUAUUUAACCAAUCUGAUUCUUAAUAUUAUAUUAUAAUCAAGUUUAUUUUCUGAUUCCUUUUAUCGCGGAUGUUCUUUUUAUAGAAAUAAAUUCAUGUAAUCAAAAUCUAUGUCAACUUGAAAAAUAACUAACUAUAUAGAAUUAGAAAAUAAUUGAAUGAGAUCCUUUCUCUAAUUAGUUAUUUUAAAGACUCAGUUAUUUAUUUGAAAUAAUAUAUUUUUUGUUUGUUUUUGAUAUAAAUAGAGAGAUUUUACACUUCUAUUUAAGGUGAAUGUCUUUAAUUAGAGAGAUUCUAGAGUCCUAUUAUUGGUAGCUAAAUCAUCCCACUCCCUNNNNNNNNNNNNNNNNNNNNNNNNNNNNNNNNNNNNNNNNNNNNNNNNNNNNNNNNNNNNNNNNNNNNNNNNNNNNNNNNNNNNNNNNNNNNNNNNNNNNNNNNNNNNNNNNNNNNNNNNNNNNNNNNNNNNNNNNNNNNNNNNNNNNNNNNNUUGUUGUUCUUGUCUUUAUAUUAUUUCAUAACACGUUAUCAGCACGAGUCUCUAACCAAUUGAAAUUUUCGAUUGUCUUAACUUUUGUUUGUGUAGGGUUCCACGUGAGGUUCUGCCGUAACCAAAUCCCGAAAUUUCUAUACGGAAAAAAAAGGAGGAAAAGAAACGAAAAACAAAGAAAAAAAAAGGGAAAUAGUGGAAACGAAAAACAAAGAAAAAAAAAGGAAACAGAAACGGAAGAGAGAAAAGGAAGAAAA
rnacentral:lncRNA from 1 species